CCUACGGGAGGCAGCAGUAGGGAAUAUUGGGCAAUGGACGAGAGUCUGAACCAGCCAAGUAGCGUGAAGGAUGACUGCCCUAUGGUUUGUAAACUUCUUUUAUAUGGGAAUAAAAUGUUCCGCGUGUGGGAUUUUGUAUUUACCAUAUGAAUAAGGAUCGGCUAACUCCGUGCCAGCAGGCGCGGUAAUUCGGGGGAUUCUAGCGGUGUCCGGGUUUCUUGGGUUUAAAGGGUACUUAGGGGUAAUGCCAUGUCAGCGGAAAAAUCGCGGGGCUUAUCCUCGCUCCGCCGUUGAAACUGGGGUUCUUGAGUGGGGGAGAAGUAUGCGGAAUGCGUGGUGUAGCGGUGAAAUGCGUAGAUAUCACGCAGAACUCCGAGUGCGAAGGCAGCAUACUGGCGCCCAACUGACGCUGAAGCACGAAAGCGUGGGUAUCGAACAGGAUUAGAUACCCUAGUAGUC
rnacentral:rRNA from 1 species